CCCGUGGUGGUGAGAGGGGGUCCCGUGGUGGUGAGAGGGGGUCCCGUGGUGGUGAGAGGGGGUCCCGUGGUGGUGAGAGGGGGUCCCGUGGUGGUGAGAGGGGGUCCCGUGGCGAUUCCCCCGCGGGAUGUUACUGCCAUGAGUCGCAGCAACUCGCGUAAUGGGCAACGGCAGUGAAACGACACUGCGACAUUUUGAGCGCAUAACAUCGCGUGAUUGCUGCUGAUGCUGCUGUACAAGUAAUCCUGCCACACGAAAGAAGUGACCGCCUAGCUGACCCUCGCCAUGGCUGAGAAACAGAAGACUGAAGAGGCCGAUGUCGGUUCGACGAGAAGACGUCGAACCAUCAUCACGAUGGAGAUGAAGAUGGACAUAAUCAGGCGGUCCGAGAAAGGCGAAACUUCUGCGGCCAUAGGCCGUGCACUAGGCCUCAACCGGUCGACGAUCGGGACGAUAAUAAAAGACAAAGAGCGAAUCGUGGAGCACGUGAAGAUCGCGGCGCCUGUAAGGUCGAUCAUCAUCACGAAGCAAAGUUGCGUGCUCAGCGAAAUGGAAAAACGAUUGCUGAUGUGGAUCGAGGACCAGAAUCGGCGGGGUGCGCCCGUAAGCCUCUUGCAGAUCCAGAAGAAAGCGAAAAGUCUCUACGAGCAUUUGAAGCCGAAGCUUGGCAAGGGUGCGAGCAAGAGUGACAAGUUCGUCGCGAGUCGUGGAUGGUUUCAGAGAUUCAAGUCGAGGGCGAAUUUGCGCCACGUUAAAUUGAGUGCGGCGGCCACCGCGAGUGCUCGUGGUGAAGAAGCAGCAGCAGCAGAAUGCCCAGACGAUUGGGCCGAUACGAUGAGCGAGGAGGAGGGCUUCAGUGCCCAGCAGGCGUCCAACUUGGACGAGACGGGAAGUUUGUGCAAGAAGACGCCUGGUCGCACCUACAUCGCAAAAGAGGGCGAGCAAGCGCCACGGGUUGGAGCUGCUGCGGACGAUUCCGGCGCGGGUGGGGACACCGGUGGACACGGCCGCUGACGAAGUGGCCGAGGAGUUGGGAAAGCAACUUAAGCCGGAGGCUGAGGCUGAUGAUGAUGAUGCUCAGCAGUUGCUCGGUACCCAUUCGCAAGAGCUCACCAACGUGAAUGUCGUGGAACUUGAGGCACAGACGUCUGCAGGCGAAGCUGAGGUCGCUGAUGUUACGGAGCCAAAGAGAUUCACAACCAAACAAUUGGCGGAAGCUUUCCGGCACUUUGAAGCUGGCUUGGCUCUCCUUGAGGCACAAGACCCCGUCCGCGUCUCGAUUCGCCAACAUCGCCAGAGUUGUAUGCGGUGGGCUGAGUUGCUACAAAGAGAUUUAUGAAAAAGAAAUGAAGGUUGAAAGGAAGCCAAAGCCGACCCCAUCAACAUCGUCAGCAAUAACUCCAGAAAAGUCUCCCGAAGGGUGUCCUGCACCAUCCUCCUCGCCUGCAUCGCUGUCUUUUUACAAUUAGGCAUCUAUCCUACACAAGCAAGUCAGCAUGAGUGUACUCAAGGUUCAAUAGGCGCUGUGAGGAGGUGUUGUACGGAGAGCUUCUAUUCAGGACCACGAGCACCAUGGCAACAGGUGCACUCACAGUGACACAGGGCCAACAUGGCUCGCCUGGUCCUCUACAGGCAUUUUACCGAGCCAUGCUUCACUGGACUCGCCAGACAUUGUCGUAGCCUGGAACUAAUCGAGAGCUCUUUGAGAUUCAGUAUUUUGUUGUCAUUAAACUGAGAGCCAGAUGAGAUUGCUUUGUCCUGUUCUUAUAGCAUAGGACACCACUCAGAUUGACUACAGCAUUUAAUUAAGGUAUCAAUAUACAGGCAGUCCCUGAUCUUGCGUACACGCAACUUACGAACACUUGCACUUAUGAAGGAGAUUCCAUGAGAAAUUACAUUUUUCAACCAUCCAACUUGCGAACGUGAACUUGCACUUGUGAACUGAACCGCGGAACUAUUUGGUUCGGCGCAGCGAUCCUCCGCGCGAUGAGUCUCAGCAUCCCACGUAACACCCAACGGGAGUGAACCGGUCGGCGACAUUUUGCAUCCAUAACCUCUCGCAUGCUGUUUAUGCUUCUGUGCAUACGUUUAGAUAUCGUUACUGACCCUCACCACAUCUGAGAAAACGAAGACUGACGGAACUGAUGUUGGUGUGUCGAGAAAACACCGCACCAUUACUAUGAAGGUGGACAUAAUCAAGCGGUCCAAGAACGGUGAAACGCCUACGACCAUGGGAUUAGGCAUUAACCCGUCCACGAUAGAAAAAAUAAGACAAAUAUCGAAUUGUCGAACAUGUGAAGGGCUCGGUGCCUCUAAAGUCCAGCAUAAUUACAAAGCAAAGGGAGUGCUGUGAUCAGCAAAAUGAAAAAACAGUUACUUAUAUGGAUUAGGACCAGAAUCGGCAUCAUGUGCCGGUAAGCCGUUUGCUGAUCCAGGUAAAAGCAAAACGUUUGUGCGAACAUUUAAAGGCUAAGCUAGGUGAAAGUGAAGAGUUUGUUGCAAUAGAUUUAAAACGAGGACAAAUUUAGCGAAACAUUAAAUUGAGUGGGGAAGCUGCUAGUGCUGAUGUUGAAGCAGGUCUUGAAUUUCCAAAUCGUUUGGCCGAUGUAAUUAUUUAGGAGGGGGGGGGGGGUUAAGUGCUCAGCAGGUGUUCAACGUCGACAAGAUGGGAAGUUUUUGGAAGAAGAUGCCUGAUCGUACUUACAUUGCAAAAAAGUCUAUGCCAGGGUUUAAAGCUGCUGCGGACCAUUCCAGGGCAGUUGUGGACACGAUAGACUGAUGAAACGGUUGAAUUGGGAAAGCAACUUCAACCGGAGGUUGAUGAUGCUCAGCAGUUGCUCGGCUCCCAUUCGCAAGACCUAACCAACCUGAAUAUCAUGGAACUGGAGGCACAGACGUUUGCAGACGAAACUGAGGUCACUGACAUUUUGGAGCCCAAGAGAUUCACAACCAACCAUUGUGGGGGAAGCUUUCCAGCAUUUUAAGCUGGCUUGGCUGUCCUUGAGGCACAAGACCACGACGCGUCUAGAUUUACCAAUGUCGCAAGAGUUGCCAACGAUGGGCUGAGUUGCAACAAAGAGUUUUAUGAAAAAGAAGAUAGCAUCUGUCCAAGUUUCCUUUGGUGGGGUUUUCAUGACGUUUGAAAGGGAGCCAGAGCCGACCCCAUCAACAUCGUGAGCAAUGUCUCCGGAAAAGUCUCCUGAGAAGUCCCCUUCACCAUCCUCGCCUGGAUCACUAUCUUCCAAUGAAGCAUCUAUCUCUGUUACACAAGCAAGCCAGCAUCAAAACUAGAGUUCAGUUUCUUCAGCUGUCAACAAGUACUACCGGGAGAAGUAGGACUGUGGGAGAGGUGUCGCUUGUAUGCCACCGUGACCCCUGACUGCAGCUAUCAUGCAGCUCGGCAAAAUAAGUGGGCCAAGGUUCACUAGGCGCUGUGAGGAGGUGUUGUACGGACAGCGUCUAUUCGGGACCACGAGCACCAAUUGCAACAGGUUCACUAGGCGCUGUGAGGAGGUGUUGUACGGACAGCGUCUAUUCGGGACCACGAGCACCAUGCCAACAGGUUCACUAGGCGCUGUGAGGAGGUGUUGUACGGGCAGCGUCUAUUCAGGACCACGAGCACCAUGCCAACAGGUUCACUAGGCGCUGUGAGGAGGUGUUGUACGGACAGCGUCUAUUAGGGACCACGAGCACCAAUUGCAACAGGUUCACUAGGCGCUGUGAGGAGGUGUUGUACGGACAGCGUCUAUUCGGGACCACGAGCACCAAUUGCAACAGGUCCAUCUAGGCACUGUGAGGAGGUGUUGUACGGACAGCGUCAAAUCAGGCCCAUGACCACGAGCACCAUGCCAACAGGUGCACUCACAGUCACUUGUAACCCCUUUACACUGGUGCAUCUGACCCGUGCCAGCACAGGGCCAAAAUAGCUGGUGGAUUUCCACCGGCAUGUUACCAAGUCAGAACAGAGCCAUGCUACGAUCGCCUCACCAGACCUUCUUGGGCUGUGCAUCAGUUUAGCUCCAGAGAUCUGUACAACGUUUCUCCACAAAUUUAAAGACUCCAUCUCGCACCACGAGUGAUGACUCCGUAUUCUCGCUAAGGGCUCCCAUUUUCUGCGUUGAAUCCAGCUUUGUGAGGUUCGAUUGUCUUUUGAAGAAGAGAGAUCAUUUCUGUAGGCCUUGGCCAAUCCGGCGUGGCUGGGUUGGGACCAGGGGAACUAUGUUGCUGUGCCCUUUGCACCCUCCCAGUGUGCGUGCCUGGCAUCUGGCACUUGUUAUCUUUCACUUGAUGAACAACAUGGGCUGUUACUCUGAAGCAAUCGACGUUUGGAUGACUUGCGUUUAACCUCUCCAGCAUUCUGAUUAGCUUCCAGCCGCACAUUAGAACUCGAGCUUUUGGGGUUACGGCAGUUGCUCUAAUUGCAUGAGUCGUAAUUAUGUAAAAGUAUUUUGAAAGGGCGCUUGGGACGAUGCCAGCACCAGGAUUGGAAGGCGGUGGCAGUGCGAGCGUCGAGCGUAUGGCACGACAUGGUGUGAACGUGGUGCAAUCCACAGCAGUUGCUGAUUUUCGCGUCGUGCUAAGCGAUGUAUCGGUCCAAAAUGCCACGUUCCUGUAAGGUGUGCAUCGUGAAAGUACGUUGGCGCACACCAGCUCAUGUUGUAACGAUAACGAGUACAAGGGAACGAGCAUACAAAAAAAACCUCACCACUUGUUAUCUAACACUGCCUGAUAAGACUUUACAGACAUUGUCUCCUUUUAUAAAGCAGAAGAGAGAGAGAGAUAGAUCGCAGUUUUGGAGAUCAAACUACACACUGGGGCUGUGAGAAAACUUGAACAUUUAUUUUUAUAUAAAGUUGCCCAAUUGUACAUCAGUAGAUGGUGAAUAUCAAACAAACUAAUCGAAAGUCAAAAUUAAUCAAGGAAUCUCUUGUAAAUAAAAAUUAUGACCUCACCCAGGAAAUAUGGCAAUUACCGUCAGGCACUGCCUCACCUGCACACGGCGGUGUGUGAGCUGACCCCCACACCCUGGGGUCAACGUGACCACAGCCCACUGGAUGUGGUCGGUGACAGGCCACGUCCUCCUCGCACUCCGUCCACGAGUGGCCCGUGACUCGACAGUGGGCCCUCCCUCCUCCCCGAUGCCGAUGAAGCGGCCGUCGCCUAACUCGGCAAGACGAGCGAAUGAUAGUAAAAUUAAACAUCUUCAUCAAAUCCGUAGAUUUGGAUCCUGGAAUAAUAGGGCAGUGAGGCAGAGCCUCUGUCACCUGUCGUGUUUCCUGGGAGAGGUCGUAGCUCAGAAGAUUGUAACCUGACAAUAGAAUGGUUUUACAUGUGUCGGUGUUGACUGUAACAUUGUGUUUACUUUACUUAAUUUACAAUAAUUCAUUUACAAUAAUAAUUUGUAUACCAGCUUUGGGCAGGUAUACAAAUUCGGAGACCUCAGUCAAAAUUACAAAGUCAUUCUAAGGCAUAUGGAGUACCAUUUUGUAGGUAUUUGUCUCGUAAAAAAAAUAAUUGGCUCGUCAUAACUGACACGUAAGUGUGACACAUACACGAAUCUGAACCCUCACUAUCCAUCUCAGUGUGGAUCAGUGGUUCUUAACCUUUUUGGAGGUACCGAACCCCACCAGUUUCAUAUGCGCAUUCACCGAACCCUUCUUAAUUGUAAAAAUAAAAUAUGAUUUUUUCAAAUUCAAAACAUAGGUAUAUGUUUUACUGGUGCACAAUCAUAUUAGUCGGGUGUGUGUCUUAACCUCCGCCGAACCCCUGAGACUGACUCACCGAACCUCUGGGGUUCGAUCGAACCCAGGUUAAGAACCACUGGUGUGGAUGAACAAGUUAUUUCAUGUUAGCAUAACACCAUGGUAUAUCAUGAGCACAGAAGUGUACAAUUUAUUACGAUGAGAACUACACUGCUAUUUGGAUGACUUACUGUGCCCAAAACAGAAGCCACUCGAUGACAUGGCCCAACAGUGUGGCCCAGCAGGAGUGCAUUUCCCACUUGUUUCAGAAGUUCACAGUUGGAAUUCAGCAGACCGCCCUGGUUAUUACCGCGGCGCAUACUAACUGUAAAAAAUGCUCCGUGCCAUCUGCUUCACGCACAGUGGACAAAGAUUCCCGGGACAUAAUUUAAAACGAGGAGGCAAUUUUCCGGCAUUACGGGUCAAUGUUUUCCCAUUUGACAAAUUACACCGCAAAUGACUCAAUUGGGAUUAUACGGAGUAAUCGGUGCCCCCCUACUGGCAGACUGAUAGUCCCUUACCGGCUGUUACAAAUCUAAAUGCAAAAGAUGAUUGACUGUACGUAUACCCACAUCUUUAAAGAGUUUGAAAUGUAUGUUUGAUGUUGUGGAGCUGCAGCUGUUUGACAUUCUCUUUGAGCGUUGGUGAUAUGUUUCUGGAUUAGUUCUAAUAAAUAUUCCAUGCGCUCGGAACAAG